CCCACCACCUGUCUCUUCCCACUGGAGGCUCCCCAACCUUCACAUCUCUCUCUCUCUUGCAGCUCUCUUCCUCCUGCUGCUCCCAUUCCUGCAUGGAAGGCUCCAUCUCUCCAGAGAGGUGCUGCCAGACCUGGGACAAGUUCAUUGUCAUCCCCAUGGACCCCCAGAAGUCCGAGGCUGAGGACUGCAGGACAUACACCCAGGAAACCCUAAGAGCUCUGCUCUCCACAGACAGACAUGUGCUACCAGAUGGGGAUGGGGGAUCUGUGUCCCAGCUUCCCCCUGUGUGACCUUGGACAAGUGUCCUGCCCUCUCUGGGCCCAGUUUACCUGUCACCAGGUGAAGGGAAUGCAGAAGAACUUCUCAUCCAGACAGAGGCGGGCUGGGGCUUUCGUGGUCCCUUCCCACAGCCCCCAGAGUGACAAGUCUGGAGAGGAGUGUCCUUUCUGUUUGCAAGUCAACAGGACAGCCCUUCUUGUGUUCUACCCUCUUCCGAGCCCUUCCCCUCCCCCGACCACGUCCCAGAUUCCCAUGCGUGUGAUGGGAAGUCCCCUGGGUGUCCCGCAAGAAUGUCUGACUCCACAUGUAUGCAGGAAUGGGUGUGUGGGCAAAGCGGAGAGGCUCAUCUGGUUGUGGAAGUCAUGAUCAAGUGGAAAUCACCCAACGGCAACCAUCCAGCAGCUGGGCCACCUGCUGCCCCUUCAAGGGUCUCACAGGGGUAUUUCAAAAUCAAGGUGUCUGGGUUUCUCUUCUCUACAUGUUACAGAGUAAAAUGAAAAUCUGUGGGGGGCGCCUGAGUGGCUCAGUCGUUAAGCAUCUGCCUUUGGCUCAGGUCAUGA